UAAGUUCAAAAGUAUGAGUGAGCUAGAUUAGGUCUAGCUUUUGUGUUCUUCUAUCCGGAUUUUCCAAACUGUUUUUUAAAUUAGGAUUCAUCUCUUCUUUAACCAUAGGCAUAUUAGCUCUCCCAUUAGUCGUUCUUAUUGUCUUGUCUCUCUUAAAUCAGGUGGAUGGAUCUUAGCUUCUGUACUUCCAUACUGAUAUCCAUACGAUAGGAUAUAUGGAUUCUUUUUCGCUUGUUCUCCAACUUUAUGAGUCCAGUCCUCCAUUCAUGGGUUAAUUGUCUUCUUUUUAGGGUUAGGGUUUCUGCUUCUACAAUCUGCAUAAUUUGCAUGAGGAAUCUCAAGACCAUCUGUCAGAGUAAGUCAGUAUUCGCGGGUGCAGCAUCAUCAAGAUUCACAUACAGGCAAGGGGGCUACCUUUAUCGAUCGAGUAAAUUGUUACUGCACCAAUCUGAAUAUUUCCUUCAACUUCCUUUUGCACUUGAAAGGUAGUUCCUUCGAAGUGGGAAUCUUGAUGAUGCUGCAUCAGCUGGUACAUGACUAUUUGGCAUCCGCGUCGAUGAUCCCUGUGAAGAAUUAAGGCAUUUUUACACCACAAGAACAUCAGAGCACCUGAUGGAUCUUCAGAUUGGCCACCAGCAAUGCACGAGGGCAGGGCUUGACUUGUGCAGUUUGAUCAAGUUUUCGCAAUUCAGGGUACCGUUUAGUGUGUGGACAGUCUUUGCAAUUGAUCAAGUAUAUAUAAUCACGAUCUUGAUAAAUCCCCUCUCAACAAAGUCAAGCUUUCACCCGGUAAAGGCUCAAGACCAGUGUCUGACAAAAGUUGGUAACCCUAAUUUAUUGAAGAUCUAGAUUCAUAUAUUCUGCAUGAAAACUUGACUCUGCCUUUAUUAGGUGAUGUUUUGUUUCCCAGAAAUCAGAUGAGAGUGGACUAAUUAUUCUUAUCUUACAUUAUCCGUGCAGAGUCGAUAAACCAAAAUUUCGAUUGGUAUUGAAGGUUGAUGGGAGAGAGUACAAGAAAUAAACAAGAGUGAAUGAAGCAAAAUGUUGAAAGAGAAAAUAACUUAAAGUAAUUUUUAUAUUUGGUUUUUAGUUUUUAUUUUGUGUACUUUUACUACUAAAAUUUCUUCUACAUCUCUUCCACCUAUCUUCCUCCAUUAUUUUAUAGGAAACUUUAACGAAAAACUUUUGGUAUUGUUCACUUUAACGAAAAACCACAUUUUUACACUAAAAAGUCAAUCUUGGUACUAUUCACUUUAUCUUUUAUUUUGUUCUUGUCAUUAAAACUCAAAGUUUUCAAGUCAUUUUCAUUAAUUUUCCUUGUUUUAUAUCCUUUAUUUCUUCCAUGCACUAUUUCUCUACUAUAUAAAACAAAAAUGAAAGCUAACAACUAAUUAAAAACAAAAUGAUUAUCAAACAGUUUCCUAAGCGCUAAUGUUGUUAUUUAGUUUGGUAGGAUAAUAACUUUUUUGCUGAAGAAAUCAGAGUUUGCGAUACGCUUAAACAAGACUGCAGGAAGCUAUUUGAGCAUUCAAUAUCAAAGCCUGAAUGCUUUUCUAUAGGCCAAUCACUUUCUUUGUAGUAAUCAGAACACGUCUGCAGCUAGCUUCUUAACUGGUCAAUGCUACAAGAAGUUGUUUGGGUUAAUAUUUGAAUAUUGGGCUUAAAUAAAGGAAAACCUAAGGAUGCCAAAUUAAGGGAAGACUUGCCCGAAGCCCGUUGAGCCCAGGAACAAAUUGAAGCCUUCUCAGCUAAGACACAAGCCACAUGUCUAUAAUUAAAGUGACAAGUGAUGAAGAUUAAUCUACUAUCAGCCAAAGAACACUUUCCAGUGGCAUUUAUAGUAAAAAAACUGAUGACUCACUAUCCUCCAAGUGCUUUUGGGCAAGAGUAAAAGUUACAGCAGUCGGGCCAAACUGCCUAUAAAAUGAAGAAAAGACAACGGGGACAAGGACACUCAACCAAUCAAACAAACAAACUUACAAACUCUGCUCUCAAGCCAGAUUUGCAUCCAAAAGCUGAAAUCAACCCGUAUUCAGUCCUUUUAGCGAUAGUUUCCUUAGAAAAAUUAUCUUUUUUCUAGUAUAAAAGCUCUGCUACCAUUCCCAAUGUUGUAGUAUCGAUCAUCUUGUGUCAACUUGUUUACCAUCCAUCCUUUUUUUUUAGCAUAUAACCCCUGUAAAUUCAAAAAGAAGUGACUGCAAGAAGUUUAACCUUGCCAGACAAGGUGAAAUCUUGCCUGAAACCUUUUGUUUGUUUUCUUAAUUAAUAGAUAUAUUGCUUAAUGCAUUAUCUAGCAUGUAUUCAAGCUA